AUUACUGCAAUGUCCGAGGAAGAUAAGGAGAAAAGUCACUUAGAACUACUUUCGAUUCCUGAUGGACUGCAGACUGAGGAAGAUAGAAAAAAUGGGUUGCUAGAAAGUCUCAGAAGAACCAUGCGGGGAAAUUUGACGCGUUUGAUUGAAAAGAUUAACUGUGAAAACAGUGAUGAAAAGAUUAACUGUGUCAUAGCUGAUACGACAUUAAUUGGGUGGAUACUCGACGUUCCCAAAAAGGUGGGAGCUGAGACUGUAGCCUUUCAACCAGGUGCAACCGCAGACAUGGCCCUCAUUCUUCAAAUUCCAAAGCUUAUUCAACUAGGAAAUCUGGAUG
rnacentral:lncRNA from 1 species